rnacentral:rRNA from 1 species
AUUGAACGCUGGCGGCAGGCCUAACACAUGCAAGUCGAGCGGAUGAGGGGAGCUUGCUCCCUGAUUUAGCGGCGGACGGGUGAGUAAUGCCUAGGAAUCUGCCUGGUAGUGGGGGAUAACGUUCCGAAAGGAACGCUAAUACCGCAUACGACCUACGGGAGAAAGCAGGGGACCUUCGGGCCUUGCGCUAUCAGAUGAGCCUAGGUCGGAUUAGCUAGUUGGUGAGGUAAUGGCUCACCAAGGCGACGAUCCGUAACUGGUCUGAGAGGAUGAUCAGUCACACUGGAACUGAGACACGGUCCAGACUCCUACGGGAGGCAGCAGUGGGGAAUAUUGGACAAUGGGCGAAAGCCUGAUCCAGCCAUGCCGCGUGUGUGAAGAAGGUCUUCGGAUUGUAAAGCACUUUAAGUUGGGAGGAAGGGCUGCUGGUUAAUACCCUGCAGUUUUGACGUUACCAACAGAAUAAGCACCGGCUAACUUCGUG